CGGCGAGUGAAGCGGCAACAGCUCAAAUUUGAAAUCUGGCUCUUUUAGAGUCCGAGUUGUAAUUUGCAGAGGGCGCUUUGGCAUUGGCAGCGGUCCAAGUUCUUUGGAACAGGACGUCACAGAGGGUGAGAAUCCCGUACGUGGUCGCUAUCCUUUGCCGUGUAAAGCCCCUUCGACGAGUCGAGUUGUUUGGGAAUGCAGCUCUAAAUGGGAGGUAAAUUUCUUCUAAAGCUAAAUACUGGCCAGAGACCGAUAGCGCACAAGUAGAGUGAUCGAAAGAUGAAAAGCACUUUGGAAAGAGAGUCAAAUAGCACGUGAAAUUGUUGAAAGGGAAGCGCUUGCAGCCAGACUUGCCUGUAGUUGCUUAUCUAGACUUCUGUCUAGUGCACUCUUCUGCAGGCAGGCCAGCAUCAGUUUGGGCAGUUGGAUAAAGGUCUCUGUCACGUACCUCUCUUCGGGGAGGCCUUAUAGGGGAGACGACAUGCAACUAGCCUGGACUGAGGUCCGCGCAUCUGCUAGGAUGCUGGCGUAAUGGCUGUAAGCGGCCCGUCUUGAAACACGGACCAAGGAGUCUAACAUCUAUG
rnacentral:rRNA from 1 species